rnacentral:rRNA from 1 species
AUUGAACGCUGGCGGCAGGCCUAACACAUGCAAGUCGAACGAGUGGCAGAAGGGUGCGUAAUGUCUGGGAAACUGCCAGAGGGAGGGGGAUAACUCCUGGACACGGUCGCUAAUACCGCAUACCAUCGGAUGUGCCCAGAUGUGUGUAGCUCGUAGGUGGGGUAACGGCUCCCCAAGGAGAAGCUCCCUAGCUGGUCUGAGAGGAUGCCCAGCCACACUGGAACGGAGACACGGUCAAGACUCCUACGUGAGGCAGCAGUGGAGAAUAUGGCACAAUGGGAGCAAGCCUGAUGCAGCCAUGCCGCGUGUAUGAAGAAGGCCUUAGGGUGGUAAAGUACUUUCAGCGAGGAGGCGUUACUCGCAGAAGAAGCACCGGCUAACUCCGGGCCAGCAGCCGCGGUAAUUC